rnacentral:rRNA from 1 species
GACGAACGCUGGCGGCGUGCCUAAUACAUGCAAGUAGAACGCUGAAGCGAGGAGCUUGCUCUUCUUGGAUGAGUUGCGAACGGGUGAGUAACGCGUAGGUAACCUGCCUUGUAGCGGGGGAUAACUAUUGGAAACGAUAGCUAAUACCGCAUAACAAUGGAUGACACAUGUCCUUUAUUUGAAAGGGGCAAUUGCUCCACUACAAGAUGGACCUGCGUUGUAUUAGCUAGUAGGUGAGGUAAUGGCUCACCUAGGCGACGAUACAUAGCCGACCUGAGAGGGUGAUCGGCCACACUGGGAAUGAGACACGGCCCAGACUCCUACGGGAGGCAGCAGUAGGGAAUCUUCGGCAAUGGGGGCAACCCUGACCGAGCAACGCCGCGUGAGUGAAGAAGGUUUUCGGAUCGUAAAGCUCUGUUGUAAGUCAAGAACGGGUGUGAGAGUGGAAAGUUCACACUGUGACGGUAGCUUACCAGAAAGGGACGGCUAACUACGUG